rnacentral:lncRNA from 1 species
CUUAUAUAGUUUCUUUUGUUGACUAUAUAUAUAGCUAGUACAUGUAAAUAUAAUAUCAUGUUUCUUAAAUUUGUCACAAGAUGUCUCAUCAUGCUUUUCAUUUACAAAAAAAAAAAAGAAAAAGAAAAAAAGAAAAGGACCCGUUCAGCUGAAUCAUAGUUUUAAGACAAAACCAAACAAUAGAUUUUCGAAAAUGAAUCUAAACAGCGAGACAACAUUACAACAAAUAACACAAUAUAACCAAAAGUAAAAAAAUAUCUAGUAUGGGUCGCCUAAUACAAUGUUAAUCAACAUGUCAUGCAUGUUCGAGAACAACUAUUGAUAGAAAAGGUAGGUUCUGAAAAUAAAGGCUCUCUGGGAUGACAGUCAUAGAAAUUUGGACUGCCUCUGCUUCAUUUGAUAAUGUUAGAAAUGCCGUGCUAUCUACGUGCACAACAAAUAGUUAUUGCAAGGAUUCUGAACGUACAGAUGGUGUGUCACUUUCUUUCCACGAGGCUUCAGAUUAUAUGAAUUCCCUAUUCUGACUGGACGAGCUCGAGGCUGUGU